rnacentral:rRNA from 1 species
AUUGAACGCUGGCGGCAUGCCUUACACAUGCAAGUCGAGCGGCAGCGCGGGGGCAACCCUGGCGGCGAGCGGCGGACGGGUGAGUAAUACAUCGGAACGUGUCCUUUCGUGGGGGAUAACCAGUCGAAAGACUGGCUAAUACCGCAUGAGAUCUCACGAUGAAAGCGGGGGACCGCAAGGCCUCGCGCGAUUGGAGCGGCCGAUGUCGGAUUAGCUAGUUGGCGGGGUAAAAGCCCACCAAGGCGACGAUCCGUAGCUGGUUUGAGAGAACGACCAGCCACACUGGGACUGAGACACGGCCCAGACUCCUACGGGAGGCAGCAGUGGGGAAUUUUGGACAAUGGGCGCAAGCCUGAUCCAGCCAUGCCGCGUGUGUGAAGAGGGCCUUCGGGUUGUAAAACCCUGUCAGAUGGGAAGAAACCUGGGUAACCAGCUGACGGUACCAUCAGAGGAAGCACCGGCUAACUCCGUGCCAGCCGCCGCGGUAACAC